GCCAGUGCUUACUACUGGUCUAGAUUGUAUAUAAAUUAAACAAAAAUAAAUUGAGUUCAAUAAAGGUAAGUAUGGAUUUUAAGUUAUUGUGAAUAUCAGCUAAAGUAUUCUUAGUCAGAUAUAGAGACACUAUUAUAUUUAAAAUGAAUGCAGUCGGAAGUAUUUACUGCUGUGGUCCCUGAUCAUAAAGUAGGUAACUAUGUUAGCCCAACAUUCCAUGAGCACAUUUAAUGUUAUUCAUGGCUAUUAAGAGCAUAUGUAGUCCCCUGUAAAAUCUUUUUUUUUUCUUUUCAGUUUUUUAUGGCCACAUUUAAAAAUAUAUAUACAAUUGAUUACAUGCUCUGAAAGUAAUUAAUCUAAAUUAACCACAUUCACCAUCAAAUAUGUUAAACUGUGUUUAAUGAUUAUUUUAGUAGUCUACUAAUCUGAGGAAUAUUUGUUUGAUUAGUUGAUGUGUCAAGAUUAUUUUUAGUCAUGCCUUUCUUUUACACCACCUACUCGCGAGGAGAGCUAAACGUUUAUGCUCCAAGACCAAUCUUUAAGUAUCUUAAAUAUAUUAAACUAAAAUUACAAAGUAUAUUAAAGGAAACAUUCGCCAAGGCUGGAUGUUAUUUAGGUGAUUUUAGGAUACGUGUAUAUAAGGCCCUUCUUCUUCUUCCAAGGAGCUACCUCCCUAAAAUUAUUGUUUGUCUAAGAAAAGUUGCGCCCCUCUCUCUCUCUCUCUCUCUCUCUCUCUCUCUCUUUCUCUUUGAUAACAGAUGGAUGACACUUUGCUGGUUAGAUUAGUAGGUUCUGGGGUUUGAUAACAGAUGGAUGGCGCUGUGCUGGUUAGAUUAAUAGGUUGUGGGGUUUGAUAACAGAUGGAUGGAACUGUGCUGGUUAGAUUAGUAGUUUCUGGGGUUUGAUAACAGAUGGAUGGAACUGUGCUGGUUAGAUUAGUAGUUUCUGGGGUUUGAUAACAGAUGGAUGGCGCUGUGCUGGUUAGAUUAGUAGGUUAUGGGGUUUGAUAACAGAUGGAUGGAACUGUGCUGGUUAGAUUAGUAGUUUCUGGGGGUUGAUAACAGGUGGAUGGAACUGUGCUGGUUAGAUAAGUAGGUUAUGGGGUUUGAUAACAGAUGGAUGGCGCUGUGCUGGUUAGAUUAGUAGUUUCUGGGGUUUGAUAACAGAUGGAAUGAACUGUGCUGGUUAGAUUAGUAGUUUCUGUGGUUUGAUAACAGAUGGAUGGCGCUGUGCUGUUAGAUUAGUAGGUUAUGGGGUUUGAUAACAGAUGGAUGGCACUGUACUGGUUAGAUUAGCUGGUUAUGGGGUUUGAUAACAGAUGGUUGGCACUGUGCUGGUUAGAUUAGUAGUUUCUGGGGUUUGAUAACAGAUGGAUGGAACUGUGCUGGUUAGAUUAGUAGUUUCUGGGGUUUGAUAACAGAUGGAUGGAACUGUGGUGGUUAGAUUAGUAGGUUCUGGGGUUUGUUAACAGAUGCAUGGCACUGUGCUGGUUAGAUUAGUAGGUUAUGGGGGUUGAUAACAGAUUGCUGGUUAGAUUAGUAGGUUAUGGGGUUUGAUAACAGAUGCAUGGCAAUGUGCUGGUUAGAUUAGUAGGUUCUGAGGUUUGAUAACAGAUGGAUGGCGCUGUGCUGGUUAGAUUAGUAGUUUCUGGGGUUUGAUAACAGAUGGAUGGAACUGUGGUGGUUAGAUUAGUAGGUUCUGGGGUUUGUUAACAGAUGCAUGGCACUGUGCUGGUUAGAUUAGCAGGUUAUGGGGUUUGAUAACAGAUUGCUGGUUAGAUUAGUAGGUUAUGGGGUUUGAUAACAGAUGCAUGGCAAUGUGCUGGUUAGAUUAGUAGGUUAUGGGGUUUGAUAACAGAUGGAUGGCACUGUACUGGUUAGAUUAGCUGGUUAUGGGGUUUGAUAACAGAUGGAUGGUACUGUGCUGGUUAGAUUAGUAGUUUCUGGGGGUUGAUAACAGAUGGAUGGAACUGUGCUGGUUAGAUAAGUAGGUUAUGGGGUUUGAUAACAGAUGGAUGGCGCUGUGCUGGUUAGAUUAGUAGGUUCUGGGGUUUGAUAACAGAUGGAUGGAACUGUGCUGGUUAGAUUAGUAGGUUCUGGGGUUUGAUAACAGAUGCAUGGCACUGUGUUGGUUAGAUUAGUAGGUUCUGUGGUUUGAUAACAGAUGCAUGGAACUGUGCUGGUUAGAUUAGUAGGUUCUGGGGUUUGAUAACAGAUGGAUGGCGCUGUGCUGGUUAGAUAAGUAGGUUCUGAUAAACUGGUUCUGGGGUUUGCUAACAGAUGGAUGGCGCUGUGCUGGUUAGAUUAGCUGGUUCUGGGGUUUGAUAACAGAUGGAAUGAACUGUGCUGGUAAGAUUAGCUGGUUAUGGGGUUUGAUAACAGAUGGAUGGAACUGUGCUGGUUAGACUAGCUGGUUAUGGGGUUUGAUAACAGAUGGAUGGAACUGUGCUGGUAAGAUUAGUAGGUUAUGGGGUUUGAUAACAGAUGCAUGGCACUGUGCUGGUUAGAUUAGCUGGUUCUGGGGUUUGAUAACAGAUGGAAUGAACUGUGCUGGUUAGAUUAGCUGGUUAUGGGGUUUGCUAACAGAUGGAUGGUGCUGUGCUGGUUAGAUUAGUAGGUUAUGGGGUUUGAUAACAGAUGGAUGGAACUGUGCUGGUUAGACUAGCUGGUUAUGGGGUUUGAUAACAGAUGGAUGGUGCUGUGCUGGUUAGAUUAGUAGGUUAUGGGGUUUGAUAACAGAUGGAUGGCACUGUGCUGGUUAGACUACUAGGGUUUGGAGUUAAAUAUAUGAUAUAAAUGAUAAAUGGACUAUGACUUAAGUUUACUUUAGUCUUUAGUCAUUUACCCCAGUACACUGGAAUCCAGCUAGCGGCUCAAUGCUAGCUAACAGCAGGCCCGGAGUGGCUAAUCAGGAGAUUCAGGAGGAUUCCCGAUAGGCCAGUUCAUGUCAAUCUCGAGUUUGGGCCGGUUGGACGGAAAAUAUUUUUUGACACUUAUCUGUCACUUCUAAUCUAAUCUAAUCUUAUCCUUGCUUUCAUUUCUGUUUAACUGCGUAUGCAUUCUCUAUUCAUCUGACAGCACAGCCCCUACUUUGCAGUAGGUUAGAUAGGUUCAACCAUCUGAGGGAAUUCUCCUCUCCCAAAUGUUUGAGUUGGUUUUCUGGAGCAAUUAAAUUAAAUACAGCAACAGAAUAGCACGAAACGUCAGUCGGCUGUGAUGGAGGGUAAAAAGAGGCCAGGUGGAGCC